AAUAAAAAUAUGAAACUUCAAAUUCUUUUUUAGAGCAAAAAACUUCAUAUUCGAAGUUAUAGAAUAUUUUUUGGAGAUACUUUUAUCUUCUUCUCUACUCUUUCUUCUCUGUAGAUCUGUCAAAGAGACGAUAGCAAUGGCAUUAAGUGACAUCUUCACGAACGAGCUUGUUCAAGUUCGCGUCUCCGGUUGGCCUUGACGGGAGCAUCACCAGUUUCACAUCUUGUGGGAUUUACUCGGGAUUGGGAGGAGGAGGAGGUGGUGCUGCUUAUUCUUCAUGUUUGGUUCUGGUUAGUGUGCUAUGUCUAGGAUAUUUGCUUCUUCUUUUUUUUGCUCUUCUUUCUCUUUGUUGCUUUUAUAUCAACCAACCACCUAAAUCUCCUUCACACCACCGUUGCCGCCACUUACUCCACUCUACUGCCAUCGCCGUUCACUCCACCUCCACCAUCAAGAUUCUCGGAAGUUUUUCGGAUACAUUUCUCGGAAGUUCAUCGGGAUUUCCGAUCACUUUCCGACAAAUAAUCCCGACGAUAUUUGUCAACGGAAAUUACCUACUAGCUUCCGACGAACUGAAAUUUCCGAGAGCCAAACUCCGACUAAACCUUGAUCGUCGGGAAAUGGUGGGAAAUUCCCACUACCGACUACCUUCCGAGUAAUCUGGCUGUCGGAGUAUGAAUCUUAUUCUUGUAGUGUAAGUUUCCAGUUUUACGAUCCCAAGGACACCCUUCUUCACAUUUCCACGAUUCUUGCCACCUACCAAUGUUGAUAAAUGCAGAAUUAUGGUUCUUGAAUCUGUUUAAAACCGUUGUUAUCAGCUGAUGAUUGAUGAUAUCAUCCGUCCUAACUUGUUCAAAAUGUUUCUAUAGUUUCACAUGGAUGCUUCUUUAGAGAAUGUAGUGUACAGCACUCUAUUGUGGGCAUACGAUCACGUGUAGAGUCUGAAGUAGAGCUUCGGGAUACGAUUGUGAUGGGAGCAGAUUUCUACCAAACAGAAGCUGAAAUCAUGUCUAUGUUGGCUGAAGGGAAAGUUCCCAUAAGUGUAGGGGAGAACACCAAGAUUAGGAACUGUAUGUCUGCAUCAUUGACAAGAAUGCCAAGAUUGGGAAAAACGUGGUCAUAGCAAAUACAGAUGUAUAUGUUGUUUUGAUUACAUCUUUUGUUGAUUUCAAAACUUUUCCAUUGUCCAAUAUUGAUUUGUUUUAUUUGAGUGUGGCACGGUGUGGAAGAAGGAGAUAUGCCAGAGGAAGGUUUUUGUAUAAGAUCAGUCAUUGCCGUUGUGGUGAAGAACGCCACCAUUAGAGAUGGUAUGAUUGUUUAGCUUUAAAUUUCUCUUAGGAGCCGUGUGAUUCUUGUGGCUUUUAACGAGAAAGGCGUUAAGUUGGAUUAUUAAUUUUAUAAAACAAGAUGGAGAAUUAUUGACACUUUGAGAAAGAAAAAAAAUACUUAUAAUGAUCCAGGAUUUAGGAGAGGUUACUUUUUCCUCAAGUAACCAUAAUUUAUGUGAUCAAUGCCCUUGGAAUUAUUCACACGGCUAUGUGCCUUGAACCUGCACUAAUCAUAAUCCCUACAAUAAAUCUAGGUCUACCACACUCGUAAAAUGUUGAGGUAGAGAAAUAGUUAUUUAAAUCUAUUGAAUCUGGUUUAUUUGUAAGUUUCGGUUUUGAUGGUGAAACAAAAUUGGUCUUUCUCAUUAGAAAAAAAAAAAGAGAAGUAAAACCAGGAUAGACCAAGCUUUGAUUCAUUUAUGGUUAAUAAUGUGACUGUUUCUGUUUACAUGAAUAGCUUUUAGAAGCUUAAAUAAACAAUCAAUUAGCUUUGAAUUAUUUUAUUUACCUCUUUUAUUUUAAAAGAAACUAAUCCUAGAGGAAUCUUUCAACAACUUGAAAUGAUGGAUCUAAGUUUCUAUUCUUAUACACCCAGUCGGAGACUUCAAUAAAGAGGUUAGGAAAGCGGCUACCAUAAUAAUCACAAAUGGUCUCUUCAAUGUGUUCUAGGAAAUUCUUUGCGUCUUUUGCAAUAGUAGUAUUGUAGUUUGUCAAUUCAUUCAAGCUGCAGACAUGAGCUUCAACCAAUGAAAUAUAAGCCUUCCUUAUAUUCUCAUGAGCCUGGUAGUCCAAAAUGGUUUUGAAAUUUAUCAGCACUGAAUAACAAAAUAGUACAUAUGCUACAAGCUUUUGAAAUUUUUUCCUCACAUAAUAUCAAAUAUAAAUUAAAAUAAAUGUGAGUAAUUAAUUGGAUUAUUUUAAACGAGGACAAUGUCAAACUAACUAGAAAACUGUAAUUGCCUAUAGUUCAAGGUGUACAAUUGAGAAGACGUUUAACCAAUUGAUAUCAAAUGUUUGUGAAAUGUUGAUCGACCCUUUUGGUCAUCAAGUCUUUCAAAAGCUUAUGUAUUAUUCACAAAUGAACAUAGCACUGGGGUUUUGGAUGAGUCACUCAACCACUUAUUCAGUUUUAAACGCUUUGUGACGAUUUACAUAGAUAUACAAUUUUGAUAUUAUUUUUAUGUUUACUUAAUAUGAACCUACUAAUUAUAUGUAAUUUAUCUUAUGUAUUUUGGUUUGAGAUAACAUAACACACACAAUACAAGAUUUGAUGUGAUGAUUUGGCUCCAAAUUAAGAGCAAAUAUCUCGCUUCAUGAUAAUUUUAUGUCAUAUUGUCCUACAUUUGACCAAAAUCACCUACGUGAAAACACGACCAUUUGAUAAUGUUUUAAUUCACUAACUUUUCUCAUUCAAAAACUAAUAUAAGUUUUAUCUUCAUUUUUUUAAAAUAACAAUCACUCAGAAAUAUCUAAUUUGGUUUGUUGUAUAAAAACAUAAUUGUGUAGUUAAUCAAAAUUGCAUCUCAUUAUUUUUUUUAAAUGUAUAUUGUUCUCUCAAAUGAUGUCAUUUAAAAUAAUGUCUUUUGAUUUGUUGGAGAAACAUGAACAUCACAAACCAUACAUUAUUUUUUAUAAAAACUAUAGUGAUUUUUUUGUCUUUUUACUAACAUUUAUUGUAUUAUCUAGUGCUUUAAUCGAAUAAUUGUUCAAAAUUAUUAUCAAAAUAUACUUGAUCAACAUGAUUGUUGAAUGCUUCAGCAUCUCAUUCAAACUAAAAAGAUAUUUUAGUUAGGAAGAUGGCCAUUAAUGUGUGGAAAGUGAAUUGUUACAAAUAAAAUAUUUGCAUGAAUUACACAAAUAACAUAAUUAAUGUUAGUCAUUUUACUACAUUUUUGGUUCUUAUUUUGAAUUCUAAUUUUUGUUCUACGGAAACUAUAUGGUCCAAUUGUGGUAGAACUGUAAAUAUUUAAUGCUGGUUCUUCUUUUUUCCCUAUUUUCUACAACAUAACAAUCACCUACAAAUAUGUAAUCUUGGUUCUUUGUUUUCUAAACAUA